AAUUGAUGUUUGUUUGAUUUUUGUCACAUCCUCCUUUACUCUGAUUCUGCAAAAAAAGAAUGGACUGUUGGAUAAAUUCUCUUAAGAUGCAAGAAAAGAAGCUUCACUUCUCCACCAAAUAAAAGUUUCAAUCUUUUUUUCUUGUUAGGGUUUCCUCUCUCUUUUCUUUGGGAUAUUUCAAUCGGAGGAGAGAUAUCAAAAAAAUGAUAGAUUUCAGUCGAGUCCAGAAAGAGCUUCAAGAUUGCAGCAGAGACAACGAUUUUUUCGGAUAUCCGGGUCAGCCCGAAAGCCGAUAAUCUCACCCGACUCACCAGAACCAUCCCUGGUCCUAUCGGUACUCCUUACGAAGGCGGAACCUUUCAGAUCGAUAUCACCAUGCCAGAAGGGUAUCCAUUUGAGCCUCCAACCAGAGUUUGAGAACUUAAGCUUGGUACUACAGAAGUUCAUAUGAGCAAGGCCUCACUAGAGAAGAUUCAACAUCCGGGCUUUACUAUGAUUGUUCUGCGCACAUGGUUUGGGUUGGAGAACGAACUCGCCAACUUGAUGGUGCUCAUGUUGAGUUUCUGAGGGGAAUAGCUAACCCUCUUGGAAUCAAGGUGAGUGAUAAAAUGGUCCCUAGUGAACUGGUUAAGCUGAUAGAGAUACUAAACCCUCAGAACAAG